rnacentral:tRNA from 1 species
GCAUCGGUGGUCCAGUGGUAGAAUGCUCGCCUGCCACGCGGGCAGCCCGGGUUCAAUUCCCGGCCGAUGCA